CCUAAUAAUGAGUAGCUUGAUACUUGAGAUUGUUAGUUAAUCAAGGCAUGGUAACUUUUUUCAUUAUCAAUUUAUAUUCACUAGGAAUCUCAAGUAGAUGAACUGUAAUAGCUAGUCUAAUUGUUUUUUUAUUCUCUUGUCAUUCCACAGUACCCAACAAUGUUUGAAGCAAUGACUAGAGCAAUAUUCUGAAAGUGAUGUUUGAGAGGUUAUGAUUGAAGAUAUUGGGAAGCAGAUUAAGUAACUAUAAACCUACAAGGUGCAGGACAUUGAUUUACUUGACUAGAAUUGUUGAACUGUAAUUUGUUAUACUUUAUAAAUUUGUUUGCAUAUGGUGUAUUUUGGUUCAGUUAAUAUUGCAUUUGGUGGUGUAUUUUGAGGGGUGUACAAUUGGAGAAAGCUUCCUUUUAUUAUUAAUUAAUUAAUUUUU